AUUGAACGCUGGCGGCAGGCCUAACACAUGCAAGUCGAGCGGAUGAAGGGAGCUUGCUCCUGGAUUCAGCGGCGGACGGGUGAGUAAUGCCUAGGAAUCUGCCUGGUAGUGGGGGAUAACGUCCGGAAACGGGCGCUAAUACCGCAUACGUCCUUAGGGAGUAAGUGGGGGAUCUUCGGACCUCACGCUAUCAGAUGAGCCUAGGUCGGAUUAGCUAGUUGGUGGGGUAAAGGCCUACCAAGGCGACGAUCCGUAACUGGUCUGAGAGGAUGAUCAGUCACACUGGAACUGAGACACGGUCCAGACUCCUACGGGAGGCAGCAGUGGGGAAUAUUGGACAAUGGGCGAAAGCCUGAUCCAGCCAUGCCGCGUGUGUGAAGAAGGUCUUCGGAUUGUAAAGCACUUUAAGUUGGGAGGAAGGGCAGUAAGUUAAUACCUUGCUGUUUUGACGUUACCAAAAGAAUAAGCACCGGCUAACUUCGUG
rnacentral:rRNA from 1 species